ensembl:lncRNA
GUGGCUGUGUGAGCGGGGACUCGAACCUCAGUCUACAGAGCAUUAACUAACCGUUAACCAUCAGCCCUGACCGCUGCACCACCAAGACGCUUACCAGAAUGUGUUUGGAGGUCAUACUUGACUUUACCAUUCACAUGAUAGAGAUAUAAGAUGUCUCCAUUAAUGUACCUCUUCAACCCCGGAACCUGAACCAUAGUGUCUGAAUGCUCAACAUUCUUAUUAGCCGUGCGUGCAUGCGGGGACUCAAACCUGAGUCUAUAGAGCGUUAACCGACAGCCCUGACCGCUGCACCACCAAGUCACUUACCAGAUCAUUUUUGGAGGUUAUACUUGACUUUACCAUUGUGAAAGUCAAGUAUAACCACAGCCUUACCACCAUACCACCAAGACCCUACCCAUUCCACUUUGUUUCUUCCGGUGAAUACAAUAUGGGAUAAAUAAAAGAAAGCAAUUAUCAUACAAUCAUGCAAACUCAAAUAGACCCCCCCCCUGAUUCUCAAUUCAUACCGUUCUUCAGGGGAUUGAGUCAGCACACACAAGCAGACAGGCGGUUCCGCCUGUUGUGACUGCUGGAUGUGGAAGCGGUGGUUGUUGUUCACCUAGAGGGGGUGGUGGAGACCAGUGUUGCCAGAUUGGGCAACACUAUUUCCCCACCAUUUCGUCACACAGUAGAAUCCACGCCAGGCUGGUUCUCGGUGCUUCGAACCCCGGUCUCGAGCGCUGCCAUCCAACAGCACUCGCCGCUGCACCGUCGAGACACUACCAAGUGGCCAGCGGUUAUAGUUGACUUAAAACUCACAUGACAUUGUUCGGCUUCUAACUCUACGUCAAGCUCCAGUGAAGACCUAUCGUGACAGGACUCCAGGGGUCGCUAUAAACAGCUCUAUCAGCUGCACCCUUGUGACGUCAUGAUUUGAC